rnacentral:rRNA from 1 species
AUUGAACGCUGGCGGCAGGCCUAACACAUGCAAGUCGAGCGGAUGAAGGUAGCUUGCCCCUGGAAUCAGCGGCGGACGAGUGGGUAAUGCCUAAGAAACUCCCUGGUAGUCGGGGAUCACGUCCGGAAUAAGGCGCUGAUACCGCAUCCGUUCUGAGGUAGAAAUGCGGGGUGCUUCGUGCGUCGGACAACGAGUUUCUAGUGGUUGGGGUUGGCCAGUAGGUGGGUUAACGGCCUACCAGGGCGACGAUCCGACACGGGUCUGAGGGGUGGCCCAGUCACCCUGGAACUGAGACCCGGUCCAGACUCCUAAGGGAGGCAGCAGUGGGGAAUAUUGGACAAUGGGCGAAAGCCUGAUCCAGCCAGGCCGCGCGCGUGAAGAAGGUCUUCGGAUUGUAAAGCACUUUAAGUUGGGAGGAAGGGCAGUAAGUUAAUACCUUGCUGGUUUGACGUUACCAACAGAAUAAGCACCGGCUAACUUCGUG